CCAUGAAGUUGCGGCUGGGUUCUUAGGAAACAAGGAGAGAAAAAUAGAACUGCAAGCUGGAAAUUCACAAGAGGCUUCAAAGUAACUGUGCUUCUUUACUUCUUCCUGGGCCUGACAUGUUCACUGCACCAGGUCUGAGGCAGCUGAGUUGGGCAAGGAUGCAGGACUGGUGCUCCAGCUGGCAAGGUUGACUUGUGGAUAAUUCUCCUGGAGGUAUUCAGACUGCUGCCAGCUCAGGUUCUGACAUGGCAUAAACUGGUCCGAAUGGUAUUUUGGCUCCAGGCUUCAGCUCUAUUGGGAAGUCAUAGUCCCAGGCGGAGGAGCCAUCACUUGGAGUGGUGAAGAUCAUCUUUGACAGGAUGAUAGACCACUAGGCCCCUUCAUGAGGCCCAGUCAAUUUCCACCCUCUUCUACAUUUUCCAGUGGAUUCCCCAGAGAUUAUGCUAUUCAUCAGGGGUAAAAGGGAAUGACUACUCAGUGAUGGAGUACUAUGGGGAACACUCUGGAGGCUGUACAUGUUCCUCUGGAGGGGUGCAGGUCCCCAGGCAACCCAGAAUAAAGAGAAUUUUGAAAGGGAGACUCGUGUGUGUUAGACGCUGUUGAUUGUGGCCUUGAGGGGUUCUCCCUCCACACCAACGGAACACCUGAGCAAGAUAAGAAGGAGAAAGAAGAGAACUCGGGAUAACAUGUUCAAUGAGAUCCUGAAAGCCAGUGCUGCAUCAGACUUGAUCAGAGGCCCUGGAGGAUGAAUACUGUAUACUGUAUGGAGAAGGAAAGAGCAGACAGGAGAAAGGCCCAGGACUCCUGCAGGAC